GUGAGUCAUCGAAUCUUUGAACGCAAAUUGCGCUUGAGGCUUCGGCCAAGAGCAUGUCUGGCUCAGCGUCGGCUUACUACCCUCAAUCAAUUACCAUGUGGUACUUGAUUGGAGCUGGCUUUCCGGUUUUCCAUCUAGGUUGCCGGUCAGCUGAAAAACAUUCGCGCUGUGGAAGCUGCUUUCCCUUAAACAAGGAGAGCCGAGUUCCGAUUUGGUAGGUGACCUUUGCCGGUUGCAUGCCUUCGUUGCUCGCCAUGGUUUCCAUGAUAGCGUGUGCAGGACGCCUUUUGGCUUUCGACC
rnacentral:misc_RNA from 1 species